AAAGCUUGCUUUUCUGAAUCUAGUGGCGAACGGGUGAGUAACACGUAGGUAACCUGCCCAUGUGCCCGGGAUAACUUCUGGAAACGGAUGCUAAAACCGGAUAGGUAGCAGACAAGCAUUUGACUGCUAUUAAAGUGGCCUUGGCCAUGAACAUGGAUGGACCUGCGGUGCAUUAGCUGGUUGGUGAGGUAACGGCCCACCAAGGCGACGAUGCAUAGCCGGCCUGAGAGGAAGGUCCCCACAUUGGAACUGAGACACGGUCCAAACUCC
rnacentral:rRNA from 1 species